AGCUUUGCACAAAGGCAGUACCAUAGCCAAUGAGGUUUAUCUGAGAAAUGAUUAUUGCUAAUUGAAAACUUUCCCCAAACAGGCUUAUAAGAUUUACUAUUUAUGACAUUUCAGUAUAUUUGCCACACUUCAAGGU